GUCGUUCGCGUUCCGUUGCCGCGUACGGUCGUCGUCGUCUGAUCUGCGUGACGUGUGCCGUCGUCGUUCUAACGUGCGUGCGUGCGUGCGUGUGUUGUGUUCCGUACGCGCCGGCGGUGGUGUGUGAGUGUGUGCGCGCGCGCCCGUCGCAUUGUUUACACCGGUUGUUUUUUUUUCAAUUUAAUUUUUACCGUGUGCGCUUAAUUUUUUCACGUUUCUUCGGCAAUAUUUUGACGACGAUAUUGUCGCCGUGGUUAAUUAUACAAGUGCUGUUAUAUAAUCCGUCGUCAUACUCGCGACGGUGUGAAAAUAUAAUAUUCGAGUCGUUUUUAUCCGUUCGUGAAAACCGUUUUUUUGAUGAGAUAACCGGCAAACGACACGGAAAAUAAAGAGCAUUAACGUAGAAGAUCAUUUUAUCAAAAUAUCCAUUGGAUCAUGUGAAGAAGAUAUAUUUAAACUCGCCAGUUGUAAAGGUAUGUUCUAAAUUAUAUUUUAUUUAUACUUGGUUUUUUUUAUUAUUCUCUUAAAAUUGUGAGUGUAGAUUUUCUGGAUGAUGUUGAUUUAAUCACCCUACGGUCAACGAAUUUUAAUUUUGUUUCUUCUAUUAUACUCAUAAUAUUUUGGUUAUAAUAUGUGUUUUUUACUUUGGUGAAGGACCAAUAUUUUAAACUCCUCAAAAUUGGAUCAACUUUGUACGAUAUUAAAUCUAAAAAAAAAUCGAAUGGCUAUCUUAAACUCCUUGUUUAUGAAUAUAAUAUAUUCGUAUGACAAUUUAUGUAUUAUUCGACGUGAUGAUGAAAUAAAAAAUCUAUGUUAGUUCUUUUAUAGUAUCCAUAUUAAUGAACAAAUUACAAAUUUCUCUUAUGUAAUAUUUAUAUUAUUAUGGAGUUAC